rnacentral:tRNA from 1 species
GGUAUUGCAUCUUCGCUGGUCAAAGUGGCUGUCUAGUAAACAGGAGAUUCUGGGUUUGAAUCUCAGCAGUACCU